GGAGGCUGGCAGCGAUUAAAAUGAACUUACUGCCACGUUUUCUCUAUCUCUUCCAGACCCUCCCCAUCCCACUCUCACGAGCAGACUUCAAAAAUCUCCAAAUGCACAUUGAUAAAUUUAUUUGGGCGGGGAAAAGAGCUAGAAUAAAAUGAAUUACCCUGUAUAUCCCACACAAAAAAGGGGGACUAGGCCUGCCAAAUUUCUGGGACUAUCACCAAGCAUCCCAACUUGCACAAAUCCAAACCAUGCACGCCCCCCCAGGGGUCAAGCGCUGGGUGGACCUGGAACACGACCUAUUCGGACGAGAUCUGCCAACUCUCUACCUAUGGAUACCAAAAACACACAGACCACAACAGCCCAACACGACACCAGCCCUCACGACAGCCAUCCACAUUUGGAACAGGGCGACCGACAAAUACAACCUCAUAAAUACUCCCUCACCCCUUAUGCCUGUUCUGAGGAACCCUCAAUUCACCCCGGGAAUGACGCCCCAACAUUUCAUCAGGUACGAGGACAAUGACCUUACGAGAAUCUGUCAUUUUUAUAGGAACGACCGCCUUAUUCCCUUCCCAGAAUUGCCA